UUUCAUGUAAAUUAUUUCCUGGUAUACCAUGUGUUAAAUAGAUGUUUUGGUGAAUGAAGACAGUAUUGGAUGUACUUGACUGUAUUGAAUUGCUUUUCACCUUUUGUAUGACCCUUUUCAAAAGCAUGGUUCUGAAACUGUUGAUAAGUUUCCUCUUUGUGUUCCCAGCAUGCAUUACCUCAGAAAUUACAAUUACUCAGUCUGCUGCUCAAGUGAAAAGACCAGGUGAAAGUAUGUGGCUCACCUGUGCAGUUUCUGGAUUUUCUCUCACAAGCUGUGGAAUAAGCUGGAUCCGUCAGGUUUCUGGAAAGGAACUGGAAUGGAUUGCAGACAUCUGGCAUAAUGGAGGCACUGCUUAUAGCACUAUCUUUCGAAGUCGGGCCAUCAUCACAAAAGACAAUUCUAAGAGCCAAGUAUACUUGCAGCUCAAUUCUUUAAAGGCUGAAGACACAGCUGUAUAUUAUUGCAUAAGACACAAUGAGAGGAAUCUUCUUACAAAUUGA